GACGCUGGCGGCGUGCCUAAUACAUGCAAGUCGAACGGUCUUUCUAUGGAAGCUUGCUUCCACUGAGAAGAUAGUGGCGAACGGGUGAGUAACACGUGGGUAACCUGCCCAUAAGAGGGGGAUAACAUCCGGAAACGGGUGCUAAUACCGCAUAGUUUUCUUGAUCGCAUGAUCGGGAAAGGAAAGACGGCCUUUGUGCUGUCGCUUAUGGAUGGACCCGCGGCGUAUUAGUUAGUUGGUGAGGUAACGGCUCACCAAGACGAUGAUACGUAGCCGACCUGAGAGGGUGAUCGGCCACAUUGGGACUGAGACACGGCCCAAACUCCUACGGGAGGCAGCAGUAGGGAAUCUUCCGCAAUGGACGAAAGUCUGACGGAGCAACGCCGCGUGAGUGAAGAAGGUUUUUCCGGAUCGUAAAACUCUGUUGUCAGAGAAGAACAAGUUGGAGAGUAACUGCUCCAGCCUUGACGGUAUCUGACCAGAAAGCCACGGCUAACUACGUGCCAGCAGCAGC
rnacentral:rRNA from 1 species